AUGGCGGCCACUGAGAUCGCAAGGCAAGCGGGAGAGGGUGUACGUGCUGUCCCACUCUCUGGCCAUGUUGGCUUUGACAGCAUGCCGGACCAGCUGGUCAACAAGUCUGUUAACCAUGGCUUCUGCUUCAACAUCCUCUGUGUCGGAGAGACAGGGUUGGGGAAGUCCACUCUUAUGGACACUCUGUUUAACACCAAGUUUGAGGGUGAACCAACCCAGCACAACCAGCCAGGAGUGCAGCUCAAGUCCAACACGUACGAGCUGCAGGAGAGCAACGUGCGCCUCAAGCUCACAAUUGUGAACACAGUCGGCUUUGGAGACCAGAUCAACAAAGAGGACAGUUACAAACCUAUUGUGGAGUUCAUCGACACUCAUUUUGAGGCUUACCUUCAGGAAGAGCUGAAAAUCAAACGCACCCUCCACAGCUAUCAUGACUCACGCAUCCAUGCCUGCCUGUACUUCAUCGCCCCCACUGGACACUCCUUAAAGUCCCUGGACUUGGUGACCAUGAAGAAAUUAGACAGCAAGGUGAAUAUUAUUCCCAUCAUUGCCAAGUCUGAUGCCAUCUCAAAGAGUGAACUGGCUAAGUUCAAAAUCAAGAUCACCAGUGAGCUGGUCAGCAAUGGAGUCCAGAUCUACCAGUUCCCCACUGAUGAUGAGACUGUGGCAGAGAUCAACUCCACAAUGAACGGCCAUUUGCCAUUCGCAGUGGUGGGAAGCACCGAAGAAGUGAAGAUCGGGAACAAGAUGGUGAAAGCGCGGCAGUACCCCUGGGGAACUGUCCAGGUGGAGAAUGAGAACCACUGUGAUUUUGUGAAGCUGAGGGAAAUGCUGAUCCGGGUGAACAUGGAGGAUCUGAGGGAGCAAACUCACACACGCCACUAUGAGCUCUACCGCCGCUGCAAACUAGAGGAGAUGGGCUUCAAAGACACAGACCCUGACAGCAAACCUUUCAGUCUGCAAGAGACGUAUGAGGCCAAGAGGAAUGAGUUUAUGGGUGAGCUGCAGAAGAAGGAAGAGGAGAUGAGGCAGAUGUUUGUCCAAAGAGUGAAGGAGAAAGAAGCUGAGCUGAAGGAGGCGGAGAAGGAGCUGCAUGAAAAGUUUGACCGUCUAAAGAAGCUGCAUCAGGAUGAGAAAAAGAAGCUGGAGGAUAAGAAGAAAGCUCUCGAUGAUGAACAGAACAUCUUCAAGCAAAAGAAGACGGCAGCUGAGCUACUGCAGUCUCAGGCCCAGCAAGCAGGGGGCUCCACCACACUCAAGAGGGACAAAGAGAGGAAAAACUGAUUUGGCCUCCUCACCAGACCAUGAUACAGAAGGAAGACACUUGCACUGAGAAGCUUCUUUUAAAUCUGUCUUGGCCACCUGUCUGAAGAGGGGAUUGCAGCUUCUACAAGAACUAAAGCACCUGUUUUCCUCUUCCCAUCUCUCUCUGCCAGCCUUUUUUAUUAUCAUUUUGAACGUUUCAAAACGUCCUCACCGUCUGCUCAGUCAAACAGAGCCUUAUGUGGGCUUCACAAGGUGUUUUUCGCAAUAAGCAUUAGCUCUCUUUCUUAAUUACGGAAUGCCAAGCAAAGUCCCACACUAAUAUUUUUUACAGAUUUUGCGAAGAAUACCAGAACCAAAGUUCUGGGAGUAAAACAAAGCAUGAAGGAGACCUAAAAGACAUUCUUUGCUGUGAAAACAUUAGCUUUUAUACAUGAUACAUAAAUAUAUAUUGCCUUGCAUAGUAUACAUUUAGGCCCCAGUCUUUCACAUUAGCACAAGAAUUGUCUGGUUUUCUCUUGUGAGAAUGUGAUUUUGUGAGUGACCAUGGAUAUCCUCUAAAAGAAAUGAGCAAAGAACAAAACUGUGCAGAUGAAGUACAUACAGGUUAAUGUUUCCUUACGACACACUAUGUGUUUAAACUUAAAGAAGUAAAAGACAGGCAGGUUCUUUUUGUCUACAACUUGAAAACAUUGACUGUCUGGCUGUGAGAUAUAAAGACCCAAAGAGAGAUUUAGUUUGAAGUGUUGUCAAAUAAUAUACAAGACCUAUUUAACUUCUGUCUUGAAACCAUGUGAUAAAACUCAAAGUUGUUCUUGAAAAAUGUAAUUUACAGUUAUUUAAAUCUGGUCCAUUUCAAGACUGAGGACUAAUAACAAUAUUGAUACUGUGUCCUCUCAUCUGGUGAAUUUUGAAGGCUGUAAUUUAAAGAAGCAAUUCUAAAUACCAUCUAGAACACUUUCAGUCCCUUUUCAUUUAAACUUCACCUUUUGACAGCCUAAUCUGCCCUUUGCAUGUCUUUUCAUGUUUUGUUUUUUUCUAUAAAUUUAUUAUAAAGCCUUUUUCAGUGUCAAAAAAUGCUCUCUAUAUUGGCUUGUUUUUCUCUUGCGUAUUUAUUCCAGGUACAUGUGCACUUGUAUCUGCUUGACAGAUUUCAACAGAUUUUGCCAAAUAUUACAUUUAGAUAGAUUAUAGUUUUGGCAGUUUUGUUCUAAAUAAGUCAAAUGGCAGAUACAGAUAUUCAUCCAUAUAUAUAUAAUUUAUAAGGAUCUAUUUUGUGUAUUGAAGUAGAGACGUGUCUUAAUGAAAAAUAAUAUUGUUGGGAUGUGGUGGUUUUCGCUGUGUACAACAUCAAGACUCUAGCCUUCAUUUUUUCUAGUUUCUUCAUACCUGCCUUUCAUUGUCCACUCCCUCAGCCCCUGUCAUAACGCAAAGUUGUGAAAUAUUUCAUUGUAGUGAGAUUUCAUUGGUGUACAUUUUCAAUAAAACUACAGUGAAAACAA